rnacentral:lncRNA from 1 species
UCACAUCUACCUGCGGAAUUCACCUUAUACCUUAGAGAGAGGCUGCAGUCAGUGACAGCUGAUGGGAAAUGCAUCUGUUCCUUUGAGUAAUUCAGCAACAUCAUUACUUCUCAGAAAUGAUAAUUUCUCGCCGGGCGCAGUGCUCACGUCUGUAAUCCCAGCACUUUGGGAGGCCAAGGCGGGCGGAUCACGAGGUCAAGAAAUCGAGACCAGCCUGGCCAACAUGGUGAAAC